rnacentral:tRNA from 1 species
GGCCCAGUAGUCGAAUUGGCUAAGACAUCUCCCUUUCACGGAGAAGAGUUCGGGUUCGAUCCCCGGCUGGGUCA